GCCAUCAAAUGUCACACGCUACUGAUUUUGGAUGUAAGGUCACUGGAAACAACAUAUCAGAGGUGUCAGCACCACAAAUCAAUAGAUCGUAAGAGCGU